rnacentral:snoRNA from 1 species
UGGAUCAGUGAUGACUACUGAUCGUGUAGGAUGAAUAUGUGUCUGGUACUCUGAGGACUAA